ACUCAAAUGAAUAGACGGGGGCCCGCACAAGCGGUGGAGCAUGUGGUUCAAUUCGACGCAACGCGAAGAACCUUACCUGGGCUCGAACGGCUGGUUAACGGCGUUGGAAACAGCGCUACUCCGCAAGGAGGUCCAGUCGAGGUGCUGCAUGGCUGUCGUCAGCUCGUGUCGUGAGAUGUUGGGUUAAGUCCCGCAACGAGCGCAACCCUUGUCCUGUGUUGCCAUACCGUAAGGUGGAACUCGCAGGAGACCGCCAGCGAUAAGCUGGAGGAAGGUGGGGAUGACGUCAAGUCCUCAUGGCCUUUAUGUCCAGGGCUACACACGUGCUACAAUGGCCGGUACAAAGCGCAGCUAAGUCGCAAGACGGAGCCAAUCGCAGAAAACCGGUCUCAGUUCGGAUUGCAGGCUGCAACUCGCCUGCAUGAAGCUGGAAUCGCUAGUAAUGGCGGAUCAGAACGCCGCCGUGAAUACGUUCCCGGGCCUUGCACACACCGCCCGU
rnacentral:rRNA from 1 species